rnacentral:rRNA from 1 species
UGUAGCAGUUAGCACAUCUGCAUAAGCCAGAUGUCUGAUCUCGGAAGCUAAGCAGGGUCGGGCCUGGUUAGUACUUGGAUGGGAGACCACCUAGGAAGACCAGGUGAUGUAGGUA